rnacentral:rRNA from 1 species
UUGGAGGGCAAGUCUGGUGCCAGCAGCCGCGGUAAUUCCAGCUCCAAUAGCGUAUAUUAAAGUUGUUGCAGUUAAAAAGCUCGUAGUUGAAUUUCGGGAUCAAUUUAUCGGUCGUGCCUCUGGUAUGCACUGGUAUUAUUGAUUUCUACCUUCUGACGAACCAUGAUGUCAUUAAUUUGGUGUCAUGGGGAAUCAGGACUGUUACUUUGAAAAAAUUAGAGUGUUUAAAGCAAGCACACGCUUGAAUACAUUAGCAUGGAAUAAUGAAAUAGGACGUUUGACCCUAUUUUGUUGGUUUCUAGGAUCGACGUAAUGAUUAAUAGGGAUAGUUGGGGGCAUUAGUAUUCAAUUGUCAGAGGUGAGAUUCUUGGAUUUAUUGAAGACUAACUACUGCGAAAGCAUUUGCCAAGGAUGUUUUCAUUAAUCAAGAACGAAAGUUAGGGGAUCGAAGACGAUCAGAUACCGUCGUAGUCUUAACCAUAAACUAUGCCGACUAGGGAUCGGAUGAUGUUAAUUUUUUAAUGACUCAUUCGGCGCCUUACGGGAAAC